CAGCCGCCGCGGGAAUACGGAGGGGGCUAGCGUUGUUCGGAAUUACUGGGCGUAAAGCGCACGUAGGCGGCUGUGUAAGUCGGAGGUGAAAGCCCGGGGCUCAACCCCGGAAUAGCCUUUGAGACUGCAUAGCUUGAAUACGGGAGAGGUGAGUGGAAUUCCGAGUGUAGAGGUGAAAUUCGUAGAUAUUCGGAAGAACACCAGUGGCGAAGGCGGCUCACUGGACUGUUGUUGACGCUGAGGUGCGAAAGCGUGGGGAGCAAACAGGAUUAGAUACCCGUGUAGUCCCUGUCUCUUAUAC
rnacentral:rRNA from 1 species